rnacentral:rRNA from 1 species
UACGUAGGGUGCGAGCGUUGUCCGGAAUUACUGGGCGUAAAGAGCUCGUAGGUGGUUUGUCGCGUUGUUCGUGAAAACUCACAGCUUAACUGUGGGCGUGCGGGCGAUACGGGCAGACUAGAGUACUGCAGGGGAGACUGGAAUUCCUGGUGUAGCGGUGGAAUGCGCAGAUAUCAGGAGGAACACCGGUGGCGAAGGCGGGUCUCUGGGCAGUAACUGACGCUGAGGAGCGAAAGCAUGGGGAGCGAACAGG